AUUGAACGCUGGCGGCAGGCCUAACACAUGCAAGUCGAGCGAGCGGCGGACGGUUGAGUAAUUUUUCGGGACUGCCCGAUAGAGGGGGAUAACUACUUUAAACGGUAUCUAAUACCCCAUACUAUCUGCUUACCCAUUUGGCAUUGGCUAGUAGGUGAGGUAAUGGCUCACCUAGGCGACGAUCCCUAGCUGGUCUGAGAGGAUGAUCAGCCACACUGGGACUGGGACACGGCCCAGACUCCUACGGAGGCAGCAGUGGGGAAUAUUGCACAAUGGGCGCAAGCCUGAUGCAGCCAUGCCGCGUGUAUGAAGAAGGCCCUAGGGUUGUAAAGUACUUUCAGUCGGGAGGCGUUACCGAAAGAAGAAGCACCGGCUAACUCCGUGCCAGCAGCCGCGGUAAUAG
rnacentral:rRNA from 1 species